rnacentral:rRNA from 1 species
UACGAAGGGUGCAAGCGUUACUCGGAAUUACUGGGCGUAAAGCGUGCGUAGGUGGUUUGUUAAGUCUGUUGUGAAAGCCCCGGGCUCAACCUGGGAACGGCAUUGGAAACUGGCUUACUAGAGUGCGGUAGAGGGGUGUGGAAUUCCCGGUGUAGCAGUGAAAUGCGUAGAUAUCGGGAGGAACAUCUGUGGCGAAGGCGACACCCUGGACCAGCACUGACACUGAGGCACGAAAGCGUGGGGAGCAAACAGG